rnacentral:rRNA from 1 species
AUUGAACGCUGGCGGCAUGCUUUACACAUGCAAGUCGAACGGUAACAGGUUAAGCUGACGAGUGGCGAACGGGUGAGUAAUGCAUCGGAACGUGCCCGGUCGUGGGGGAUAACGCAGCGAAAGCUGCGCUAAUACCGCAUACGAUCUGAGGAUGAAAGCGGGGGACCGUAAGGCCUCGCGCGAUCGGAGCGGCCGAUGUCAGAUUAGGUAGUUGGUGGGGUAAAGGCUCCCCAAGCCGACGAUCCGUAGCUGGUCUGAGAGGACGACCAGCCACACUGGGACUGAGACACGGCCCAGACUCCUACGGGAGGCAGCAGUGGGGAAUUUUGGACAAUGGGCGCAAGCCUGAUCCAGCAAUGCCGCGUGCAGGAAGAAGGCCUUCGGGUUGUAAACUGCUUUUGUACGGAGCGAAAAGGCUCUCUCUAAUACAGGGGGCUCAUGACGGUACCGUAAGAAUAAGCACCGGCUAACUACGUGCCAGCCGCCGCUGUAA